AUUGAACGCUGGCGGCAGGCCUAACACAUGCAAGUCGAGCGAGCGGCGGACGGGUGAGUACUGUCUGGGAAACCGCCUGAUGGCGGGGGAUAACUACUGGAAACGGUAGCUAAUACCGCACACCAUCAGCUGUGCCCAGACGGGAUUAGCUAGUCGGUGGGGUAACGGCUCACCUGGGCGACGAUCCCUAGCUGGUCUGAGAGGAUGACCAGCCACACUGGAACUGAGACACGGUCCAGACUCCUACGGGAGGCAGCAGUGGGGAAUAUUGCGCAAUGGGCGCAAGCCUGAUGCAGCCAUGCCGCGUGUGUGAAGAAGGCUUUCGGGUUGUAAAGCACUGUCAGCGGGGAGGCGGUACCUGCAGAAGAAGCACCGGCUAACUCCGUGCCAGCAGCCGCGGUAAUAC
rnacentral:rRNA from 1 species